rnacentral:pre_miRNA from 1 species
ACAAGAUGCGGACCGUCGGUCUACCGAGCAAAUGUUACCCGCUCGGUGGAAGAUCUUCCCUUUGUCGU